rnacentral:rRNA from 1 species
ACGGGAGGCAGCAGUGAGGAAUAUUGGUCAAUGGGCGAGAGCCUGAACCAGCCAAGUCGCGUGAAGGAUGAAGGUUCUAUGGAUUGUAAACUUCUUUUGUUCGAGGGUAAAGUGAUCUACGUGUAGGUUAUUGCAAGUAUCGAACGAAUAAGCAUCGGCUAACUCCGUGCCAGCAGCCGCGGUAAUACGGAGGAUGCGAGCGUUAUCCGGAUUUAUUGGGUUUAAAGGGUGCGUAGGCGGGCUGUUAAGUCAGCGGUGAAACCCCCGGGCUCAACCCGGGGACUGCCAUUGAAACUGGCGGCCUUGAGUACGUUGGGAGUGCGCGGAAUGUGUGGUGUAGCGGUGAAAUGCAUAGAUAUCACACAGAACACCGAUCGCGUAGGCAGCGCACUACGCCGCAACUGACGCUGAGGCACGAAGGCGCGGGGAUCGAACAGGAUUAGAUACCCUGGUA